rnacentral:rRNA from 1 species
GGGGGGGGGAGUAUGGUCGCAAGGCUGAAACUUAAAGGAAUUGACGGAAGGGCAUCACCGGGUGUGGAGCCUGCGGCUUAAUUUGACUCAACACGGGGAAACUUACCAGGUCCGGACAUAGUGAGGAUUGACAGAUUGAGAGCUCUUUCUUGAUUCUAUGGUUGGUGGUGCAUGGCCGUUCUUAGUUGGUGGAGUGAUCUGUCUGGUUAAUUCCGUUAACGAGCGAGACCUGGGCGUGCUAGCUAGGCGCGACUACCGCUUUUUGGUAAUGGGGCUUGCCUACCUAGACGGACUGCGGGCGUCUAGUCCGCGGAAGCUCCAGGCAAUAACAGGUCUGAGAUGCCCUUAGAUGUUCUGGGCCGCACGCGUGCUACACUGAGCGGGUCAACGGGUGAGGAUGUGCGAGAGCGCUUCCCAAUCUCUAAAUCCGCUCGUGCUGGGGAUCGAGGCUUGCAAUUUUCCCUCUUGAACGAGGAAUACCUUGUAAGCAUGGGUCAUCAUCCCGUGCUGAAUACGUCCCUGCCCUUUGUACACACCGCCCGUCGCUCCUACCGAUUGAGUGGUCCGGUGAGGCCUUGGGAGGGAAAGAUGGACUGUGUUUCACGGACCGUCUGGCUCAAACUUGGUCAAACCUUAUCACUUAGAGGAAGGAGAAGUCGUAACAAGGUUUCCGUAGGUGAACCUGCGGAAGG